rnacentral:rRNA from 2 species
AGCGAACGCUGGCGGCAGGCUUAACACAUGCAAGUCGAACGCUCGUCUUCGGACGGGAGUGGCAGACGGGUGAGUAACACGUGGGAACGUACCCUUUGGUUCGGAAUAACGCAGGGAAACUUGCGCUAAUACCGGAUACGCCCUUUUGGGGAAAGGUUUACUGCCGAAGGAUCGGCCCGCGUCUGAUUAGCUAGUUGGUGGGGUAACGGCCUACCAAGGCGACGAUCAGUAGCUGGUCUGAGAGGAUGAUCAGCCACACUGGGACUGAGACACGGCCCAGACUCCUACGGGAGGCAGCAGUGGGGAAUAUUGGACAAUGGGCGCAAGCCUGAUCCAGCCAUGCCGCGUGAGUGAUGAAGGCCUUAGGGUUGUAAAGCUCUUUUGUCCGGGACGAUAAUGACGGUACCGGAAGAAUAAGCCCCGGCUAACUUCGUG